AUCUUUCUAGUAUUAAAAGUACAAGUGACUUCCAAUCACUUAGUCUUGGUUAAACUCCAAGGAAAGAUA
rnacentral:tRNA from 1 species